GAAAAUUUAAACUCUCUAUCUCAACAAACACUCAAUAACACAAAUGUCUCACUCUGUUUUUCAAACCGCUCAAAUCAUGCCCAUAAAUACCCAACUGCUCCCUACUUCCACUAAACCCUUAUUUCCGGCAAUAGUUAUCCGGCGACCAGUUCUACGGGUCGGCGGGACGCUCCGUAAAAUUAAUGUCAUUAGGGCAUCGACUUCCCCGGUCAUCGACGGCGAUGCCAUUGCCGGUUUGGAGCGGUGCUUUCAAGCUACACCGUCGGUUGAUCCUCCAUCAUCGUCCUCCUCUACCAGUAUGUCCGCCCCGGUAAUGAAAGGAGGGGGAAAAUAUGGUGCUUUUGGUGCAGUUACGUUGGAGAAAUCGAAACUUAAUUUGACCCAGAAACAGACCCAGUCUAGCCCUGAGAUUUCAACCGGAGGAGGAGGUGGAAAUAUGGGAAAGAAUUUAAAUCAUGGUGGUGGUGAUGGAGG
rnacentral:misc_RNA from 1 species